rnacentral:rRNA from 1 species
UACGGAGGGUGCAAGCGUUAAUCGGAAUUACUGGGCGUAAAGCGCGCGUAGGCGGUUUGAUAAGUCGAUUGUGAAAUCCCCGGGCUCAACCUGGGAAUUGCAGUCGAGACUGUCAGACUAGAGUGUGGGAGAGGGUGGUGGAAUUCCCGGUGUAGCGGUGAAAUGCGUAGAUAUCGGGGAGGAACAUCAGUGGCGAAGGCGACCGCCUGGCCCAACACUGACGCUGAGGUGCGAAAGCGUGGGUAGCAAACAGG